rnacentral:rRNA from 1 species
UACGAAGGGAGCUAGCGUUGUUCGGAAUUACUGGGCGUAAAGGGCGCGUAGGCGGCUUGGCAAGUUGAAUGAGAAAGCCCGGGGCUCAACCCCGGAAUUGCAUUCAAGACUGCCUUGCUUGAAUUCGGUAGAGGUGAGUGGAAUUCCCAGUGUAGAGGUGAAAUUCGUAGAGAUUGGGAGGAACACCCGUGGCGAAGGCGGCUCACUGGACCGACAUUGACGCUGAGGCGCGAAAGCGUGGGGAUCAAACAGG